rnacentral:sRNA from 1 species
AUAUACCCACGUACAUUCCGGUUCCUCCGCGCCGUCCACACCCACCUGACGGCUGCUCGCUACGUUUUGUCAGCC